UAAUUGAAGAGUUUGAUCAUGGCUCAGAUUGAACGCUGGCGGCAGGCCUAACACAUGCAAGUCGAGCGGCAGCACAAGGGAGUUUACUUCUGAGGUGGCGAGCGGCGGACGGGUGAGUAAUGCCUAGGGAUCUGCCCAGUCGAGGGGGAUAACAGUUGGAAACGACUGCUAAUACCGCAUACGCCCUACGGGGGAAAGGAGGGGACCUUCGGGCCUUCCGCGAUUGGAUGAACCUAGGUGGGAUUAGCUAGUUGGUGAGGUAAUGGCUCACCAAGGCGACGAUCCCUAGCUGUUCUGAGAGGAUGAUCAGCCACACUGGGACUGAGACACGGCCCAGACUCCUACGGGAGGCAGCAGUGGGGAAUAUUGCACAAUGGGGGAAACCCUGAUGCAGCCAUGCCGCGUGUGUGAAGAAGGCCUUCGGGUUGUAAAGCACUUUCAGUAGGGAGGAAAGG
rnacentral:rRNA from 1 species